rnacentral:rRNA from 1 species
UACGUAGGGGGCUAGCGUUAUCCGGAAUUACUGGGCGUAAAGGGUGCGUAGGUGGUUUCUUAAGUCAGAGGUGAAAGGCUACGGCUCAGCUGUAGUAAGCCUUUGAAACUGGGAAACUUGAGUGCAGGAGAGGAGAGUGGAAUUCCUAGUGUAGCGGUGAAAUGCGUAGAUAUUAGGAGGAACACCAGUUGCGAAGGCGGCUCUCUGGACUGUAACUGACACUGAGGCACGAAAGCGUGGGGAGCAAACAGGAUUAGAUACCCUGGUAGUCCCU